UACGUAGGGUGCGAGCGUUAAUCGGAAUUACUGGGCGUAAAGCGUGCGCAGGCGGUUCGUUAAGUUCGUUUGUGAAAGCCCCGGGCUCAACCUGGGAACUGCAAUGGAAACUGGCGGGCUUGAGUGUGGCAGAGGGGGGUGGAAUUCCGACGUGUAGCAGUGAAAUGGCGUAGGAGAUGACGGAGGAAGCACCGAUGGCGAAGGCAGCCCCCUGGGCCAACACGUGACGCUCAGGCACCGAAAG
rnacentral:rRNA from 1 species